GAUCAAUGACCAAGUUGAACCAUGAUCAUCUUCCUCAAUUGGAUUCGGAUCUGUUUCCCAACAAAGGAUCAACUUGUUCUCCGUUUCAACUUUCCCUUCUCCCAAUUCAUCUCUUGAGGGGAGAAUAAGUAAACAGUUAUCAAUCAAUGGCUUCAAGUAAUGAAGAUUUACCUCAAGGAACAGUAAAGAAUGUGUUGGAACAAGAUACCCUAAAAUGGGUAUUUGUUGGUGGAAAAGGUGGUGUUGGAAAGACGAGCUGUGCUGCUUCCCUUGCUGUUAAGUUUGCAAAUAAUGGACACCCUACUAUUGUAGUCUCCACCGAUCCUGCACAUUCCUUGAGCG
rnacentral:misc_RNA from 1 species